rnacentral:rRNA from 1 species
UACAGAGGGUGCAAGCGUUGUUCGGAAUUAUUGGGCGUAAAGAGCUCGUAGGCGGUCUGUCGCGUCGAAUGUGAAAACCCGGGGCUCAACUCCGAGCUUGCAUUCGAUACGGGCAGGCUAGAGUUCGGUAGGGGAGUCUGGAAUUCCUGGUGUAGCGGUGAAAUGCGCAGAUAUCAGGAGGAACACCGGUGGCGAAGGCGGGACUCUGGGCCGAUACUGACGCUGAGGAGCGAAAGCGUGGGGAGCGAACAGG